GAUGAACGCUGGCGGCGUGCCUAAUACAUGCAAGUCGAACGAACAGACGAGGAGCUUGCUCCUCUGACGUUAGCGGCGGACGGGUGAGUAACACGUGGAUAACCUACCUAUAAGACUGGGAUAACUUCGGGAAACCGGAGCUAAUACCGGAGAAUAUAUUGAACCGCAUGGUUCAAUAGUGAAAGACGGUUUUGCUGUCACUUAUAGAUGGAUCCGCGCCGCAUUAGCUAGUUGGUAAGGUAACGGCUUACCAAGGCAACGAUGCGUAGCCGACCUGAGAGGGUGAUCGGCCACACUGGAACUGGGACACGGUCCAGACUCCUACGGGAGGCAGCAGUAGGGAAUCUUCCGCAAUAGGCGAAAGCCUGACGGAGCAGCGCCGCGUGAGUGAUGAAGGUCUUCGGAUCGUAAAACUCUGUUAUUAGGGAAGAACAAAUGUGUAAGUAACUAUGCACGUCUUGACGGUACCUAAUCAGAAAGCCCCGGCUAACUACGUG
rnacentral:rRNA from 1 species